GAAACCAGGAAAUCCCAAUCUUACAUUUGCCUCUCCCUUUCCUCUCUCACACAGCCCUUGUUUUUAUUUUCCCGAAAAAUUACUCUCGGAAGAUGGCGCGCUCCAUGCGUUGGCUUUCGAUCAUGGUCCUUGUCUUAGUGCUUCUCAUGGCCUCUGAGAUGGCUAAGAGCGUGGUAGAGGGAGUAUCUUUCCCAUCAUGCGGUGACGUGGACUGCCAAAGUGCGUGCGAGCUGGUGAAUGUCGUCCCUGGCGUUGUGAUCCCAUGCCCAGUGCCGGAGCUGCAGUGUGUAUGUGGCUAAUUAAUGAUUCAUGAGAAUUGCAAGGCCUCUCUCUAGCUUGAGGAGUGGCUAGCUACUGCGUGAACAAAGUCUGUGUAAUAUUGGUGUGAAAAUAAUGUCGCCUCCUCCUGUGUGAUCAUGGGGCUUCACUUCUUCCUUUAGUACUGCAUGUUAAACAGUACAUGGUUUUCGUACUUAUUUACAAGUUGUGUGCAUGGCUUUGUUGUUGGUACUGAUGUUUAUGUUUGGAUUA